AGUGAACGCUGGCGGUAGGCCUAACACAUGCAAGUCGAACGGCAGCACAGUAAGAGCUUGCUCUUACGGGUGGCGAGUGGCGGACGGGUGAGGAAUACAUCGGAAUCUACUUUUUCGUGGGGGAUAACGUAGGGAAACUUACGCUAAUACCGCAUACGACCUACGGGUGAAAGCAGGGGAUCUUCGGACCUUGCGCGAUUGAAUGAGCCGAUGUCGGAUUAGCUAGUUGGCGGGGUAAAGGCCCACCAAGGCGACGAUCCGUAGCUGGUCUGAGAGGAUGAUCAGCCACACUGGAACUGAGACACGGUCCAGACUCCUACGGGAGGCAGCAGUAGGGAAUAUUGGACAAUGGGCGCAAGCCUGAUCCAGCCAUGCCGCGUGGGUGAAGAAGGCCUUCGGGUUGUAAAGCCCUUUUGUUGGGAAAGAAAAGCAGCAGGUUAAUACCCCGCUGUCCUGACGGUACCCAAAGAAUAAGCACCGGCUAACUUCGUG
rnacentral:rRNA from 1 species